CACCAAGUCAGGUAACUCAAGACCCCUCACAGGUGUUCUCAGUGUAAUUAAAGCUAAUGAGUGUUUGUAGAACAGCUGUAUCCAGCCAUCAAAGUACCUGAAUACAGGACACUGUGUCUUCUGCAAGGUCCCUGAUCUCACAAAAGCGGGUCCUUGAAAACAGAGGCCAUUCCACCUGAGCAGAAGAACACAGAGGAGAAGACAAGCUUCUGGCACUAAUAAGGAGACCUUCUCCUUUCUCAAGAUGAAUCAUUAAUUAUUGGGCUAUGAGGAAGAAGAAGACACAUCCCAGAAGGGUCAGGCUCUUGGGCUUCUGAUGAUCCUUCUGGUUUGGACUCAGAGGUGACACAAGUUGGGGUGAGAAGCUUCAGGAUGUGGGUAUUUGCUGCAUGUCUCAUACUCUAAAAACUCCAGUGCCAAGGGAACUUCAAUCAAGCAAUGCACCUGAAAUGUUCAGGUGCACCAGGAAUGAGUAUUUCAGAGCCUCAUGGUGCUUUGUGUUGCACUUGAGGACCAAAUAAACACAUUUUAUGGGUUUAGACCAAUGUGCUCAUCCCUCUUCUAGUUUCUGGAUUUGCAGAUUAGUGUCCGCAUUUCAAUUUAUUGCCAGGUAGCAAAAGUGAAAACCACACAAUUCUUCUGAGUGAACUCCCCAUCUAAAUUAUCACUUCCUUUACUCUGAAAACACAAGGUAAACCUCAAUUCAUAGGAGCAUCUUCUUGCUAAGCAGCUAUUUAUUUGAUGCUUCAACAACACUUGAGGUUCUCAUGUCAAACUUUAAAGCAAUUAAAAAUGACGAUUUAUGAACUAAAGUGGUAUGGAAACCAUAUGUCAAGAGACACAGGGAGCGUC